rnacentral:lncRNA from 1 species
AGAUAAUAUGGGGCUCUGUGGGCCAUCAUGAGGACUUCAGCUUUUACCUCGGCAUGAGAUGGGAAACCACUGGAGAAUCUAGAGGAGAAAGGGAUGAUCUGCCCUUCAACAGGAUCAUCCAGGCUACUCCGGUGAAUAUAGACCAUAUGAGGGCAAAGAUUGGAAGCUAGGUGAGCAGUUAGAAGGCUACUGCAAUAGCUAUGUGAGAGAGAUGAACUAGGAGAGUAGCAGUGGAGAUCUGAGAUACGGCAAAGUCUAGAUAUAACACAAAGGAAUAGCCGACAGAAUUUGCUUUUGGAUUGGCUGUAUUGUAGGAGAGAAAAAAUAGGGUGCAUUUUUGGGUUGAGCAAAGAGAAGAAUGAAGAUUCCUUGUACUGAGAUGGGGAAAACUGCAGGAGGAGUGGGUCUGAAAGAGAUGAGGCAUAUCUGAGGCACAGAGAGGUUAAGUUGGGGACUGAAGUGUGGCUCCAGAAUCUAAGUUUCUAACUGCCAUGCUAUGGUAAGUGAGAUUGGUAAGUGCACAUGAGGAACUCGUGAGCCUCAAAGUCAUUCAUCAAUGCAGCAUUCAAUGAUGGCUUACAUGAAGGUAUAGAGGUAGGCUCAUCACUUUUACCCAAACUCAAAAAACUGAAUUUUUAUUAAGAAAGAAGAAAGCAUGGAAGAUGGGCACCACCCUUCAUAAAUGGUCAUUUAAUUGGUUUUGGGUGCAUCCCAGGAAAUCAAAUUUCAAAAGCUCCCUAGGUGAUUCCAAUGUGCAGUUAGUGUUAACAAAUACUGUCGUAAGAAUUUUUCUUUUUAUAUUAAUUUAAAUAUCCAUUAAAAGAUAAGAACAGUUGAAACCACCUUUUCAAAAUGAUGACAGUAAGAUAAAUCUGAUAUAGUUGGCUCCAUCUUGCUUCUGACCUCCUUUGGUCAUUCCUGGAUGUAGGCCAAGGUAACUGUGGGAGGAAUUUAGUUUAUAGUUUAACUUUGAAGCAAGGAUGAUAAUAGUCUCUCCCUAAAACUACUCCCCUCCUUAUUCAGGGGCUGAAAAUACCUUUAUCAAACUAAUAAAAGGCCGCAAGAUUAGGAUUAUGGGAGGGGCCUGAGUUCUGCUAAAAUGUGGGCAUAGUUUUCAUAAUCCCUUUCUGCUCAGGAGUCAUGUGGCCAGAGGUCACAAUGUUUGUGACUUCCCCAAUUGCUCCUAUAGAUAACAUCACAUUGUGGAACCUAAGAUUGUUCUUUUGAGAUGUUUUUCAGACUGACCCCACUGGACUCAUGACUCAUGGACUCAGCUGGUCCUGUGGCCCUACCCAGAAGUGGACUCAGCACACGAGGACCAUUUCCCACACUCCUGUGAUUUCAUCCCCAAUUAUUCAGCAGUACCCUUUCCAUAGCCCCUUGCCCACCAAGUUGUCCAUAAAAACCCUAGCCUCUGAGCUUUUGGGGAGAUGGAGUUGAGUAAUAACUCCAUCUACUGCAUGGCUGGCCUUGUGUCAAUUAAACUUUUUUCUUUACUGCAAUAACAUGGUCUCAGUGAACUGAUUUUGUUCAUGCAGGAGGCAGGAAAAGCCCCUUGGGUGAUUACACAGUGGUUCUCAAAGUAUGGACCUCCAACCAGCAGCAUCAGCAGCAUCUGGAUACUUGCUAGAAAUGGAAAUUCUCUGGCCCUAUUCCAGGCCUUCCAAGUUGGAAACUUUGUGAUGGGGCCCAGCACUCUGUGUUUUAACAAGCCCUCUAGCCUUAAGGAAAACAACUCUGAGGACUUUUGUCACGGACUUGAAAUUCUCAUCUGUGCUUGGACAAGACUCUGAAACAUACCAACUGUGUAUUUUCCUGCCUUUGGUAAAUCUGGAGCUAUUAACUGAUUCUAAAGAACAUUUGACUUAAAAAGACUAUGGAAAGCCCAAAGAAUAAAGGGACACUUGUCACUGGAUUGAAGGCAUAUUCUAAUUUAGGACAAUGUCUUGAGAUCUUUAACUUAACUACAUUUGCAAAGACCCAAUUUCCAAGUAACUGGAACAUUCGUAAGUUCAAGUUAAACAUGUCUUUUGUGGGGAGCAGCCAUUCAAUUCAUGGAACUAUCUUUAUACCUAAUUAAGCACUGUAUCAUAUAAUCCUUACAUGUGGAGUAUCGUCUGCAUUUAAGAGAUAGUUAAUUGACGCUCAAGGAAAUCUGUAUCAGCUUGUUUGCAUUUCUUCCUCACUCCUCACUUAAACCUGAUAUGAUUUCUGCUUCCUUUUUUUUUUUUUUGCUUAACUGUUAGCU